UACGUAGGGUGCGAGCGUUGUCCGGAAUUAUUGGGCGUAAAGAGCUUGUAGGCGGUUUGUCGCGUCUGCUGUGAAAUUUCGGGGCUUAACCCCGAACUUGCAGUGGGUACGGGCAGACUAGAGUGUGGUAGGGGAGACUGGAAUUCCUGGUGUAGCGGUGAAAUGCGCAGAUAUCAGGAAGAACACCCGUGGCUAAGGCGGUUCUCUAGUACGGUACUGACGCUGAGACGCGAAAGCGUGGGGAGCGAACAGG
rnacentral:rRNA from 1 species